ensembl:snoRNA
UCUCCAUUUCUUGGUGGACUCGGCAGGCAGUUCUGUUCCCCAUAAUGUUCCAAGGGGGAAAAAAGGGGGGCUGUUGCCCUCAUGGCAUCAUGUCUUCAGUGCUAGCGAAGUCCAGUCUGGUGGUUCUAUCCUCUAGCACCGCGACAGGC